rnacentral:lncRNA from 10 species
GCAAUCAGUUUCGGUGGACCAAAAUGAAAAUGUCAAACAGGGUGUCUGACACCCUCCAGAAGCACCAGAGGAGAAGCAGCUUUCCUUGGCCUUCCCAGCCAAAUCUCCCUCUGCCUCUCUCCCCUGGUGACGACAAUGGCUGGGGUCUUGACUUGCCAAGAUCUGGAAACGGAGAAGGGACUGGAUCUCCAAACUUGGACUGCCUUGGACUGACCCUGGCCUGGAAGGUGUGGGCUCAGGACUCCGAGCUCAAGUCAGUCUGUUCCCCCAACCCCUAACCCACUGCAUCCGGGUGAGGAGUUGGGCCCGAGCGCCACAGCGCAGAUAGGGUUGUUAGGAGCGAAAGACUGGAGACCCAGGGACUGUGGGGCUGGGCUGGUGGGGCCACUGCUACCGACUAAGCAGUACGGGCCGCCUGGAAGACCGAAGGCGGAGUUCGCUGAUGCGGAAGCCAAGGCACAGGGCAAUAAGGAUCCGCGCCAUUUCUUGUGAUGUCACCUGAAGCCUUGGCGGGUAGCUGCCUCUCAUCCAUUCGGAGGACAGGGCUCCAGCCACCGGCAGCUCUGAAAGAGUUUGAAGAAUUUAUUGUUCACAGAUGGUAUUUAAAUGGACUUAUUUCUAAAAGUCACAUUCCUUUAUUACUUAUUUGUUAUUAGAAGUACCCAUUUUCAUAUGUGUUUAAAACUAUUUGUGUCUCAAAUUCUCAGGAGAUUGAUGCAUCCCAGUUUACUCUUUUUGGCAUAUGUUUUUACUCAUAAAUUAGGUUAAAUUUCAUACUUGUUUUAUAAAAUUUAGUUAUUUGGUUACAUUAAAAUAUUUGUAUCCAGA